CCCAUUGCCGCCCUCCCCCCAUAGUCUAGUUCACUGGGGGUUCAGUCUUAGCAGGACCCAGGGAUAAGCCUGAAUUUUAAUGGGUGAAAUUUUAAUGGAUAAAAGGAGGAGUGAGCAUCUCAGAGCCAGGGACAUGUGUCAGUGAAGCCAUGAGACUGGUUGACUCAGAGUAUGCAGAACGUAUGGAAUGUGUGUAUGGGGAGAGAAGACGCACCAAAUUCUCUGCGAGGUUAGAUGGAGACAGACAGUGAGGACCACUUAGUUGAAUGAGUGUCUCAGGCAGCAGGGAGCUACAGACACAGCCACAAUUUACUUUAAUUGAAGUCGUGGUUGAUGCCUUCCUGCUUGAGGAUAGCUGAGGUAAGAAAGAUAUUGCAAAGGUACAGUAUCUGGUUAAUAAUGUAAUAGUUAUUAUUUUAAAAGAAUAUUUGUUUUUUUUAAAUUUUGCACCUUUUCCUCAUCUUCUACCUCUUAAUUCUAUCUUUGUGAGGCUGAAACUGUGGUAAAUUACUGUAGAAUGUAGACAAUACUUCACGUAGGAAAGUACUUCUGCUAUCAUCCACUAAGAGAAUUAAGUGUAGAGGCAAGCUUUGCAUCUGGAAUAUCCAAACUUGACUGUAUGUUGGAGUCACUUGGGGAACUGUAAAAUAAAAACAAAACAACAACAACAAUAAUAACAACAACAACAAAAAGCAAAAGAGAGAGAUGAAUUGAGAAAGGGAGAGAAUCAGAGAGACAGACAGAGAAAGAGAGACAGAGACAGAGACAGAGAGAGAUCUGCUUGCCACCAGAGAUGUCUGGGCUGAAGUCUGACUAUCCAGCUGUCCUUUAGGAGAGGAAUAGUUAAACUGUAGUCUGUAUACAUAAAGGAAUAUUGGAUAUAUAUAUAUAUAUAUAUAUAUAUAUAUAUAUAUAUAUUCCUUGGGGCUAGAUGAAAUGGUCUCCCACACUGCAGAUAUGAAGAAGAGCUAGUCUCAUAAUCAGAGAAUUAGCUCCUGGAAGCUUACCCUAGCCUGGGAGAAUCAGUCUUCUUAUCUGGCAGAUUUUCAACAUUGAAAAGGAAUUUGGAGUUGGAUAGGUCUCUGCAAUGGGUGCUGUACUAUGUGUGGUAGCAUUCUUAAAAGCAGCCUUAGCCAGUGACCUUCCCUUUCUGAAGUUCUAACUACCAGAAAUGGCUAUGGACAUUUCCUAGCAUCUCCCAAAGAGCAAUUAUCCCUGAUUGUGAACGAAAGGCCUAUCUGUAGAGUGAAAUAAACCCCCUAUGCUGCAGGCUUGUUUUCAAAUGUGAACAAGUGUGGUUUGUAGGAGAAAUUACUUGGCACCCAGCAGGAGGCCUUCUGAUGACAUCCGGAGGCCUGGGGAAGCUACGAGCUCCCUUGGCUCGCACCCAAGAAUGGCUUCACCUGCUGUGCCAAGCCUUCGAGGGCUCCCUCAGCCAGGUGGGCACAAGGUUUAUUGGAACCUCUGGUACCCCUGCCUGUGGCCACACAUGUGGAAAUCAACCUCCAGGGCAUCUGUCCCAUAGCCCAGAUCCAGAGAAGCUUUUGGGGGCACACACAGAUUCUCCAUUCCAUGGAGCAUUGCCCCUGGACCCACAUUCAGGGCACUAGGGUUGCCCAGGAAUGUGGAGAAAGGAGGAGGAAAGUGGUGACAACAAUAUUGCCUCUACCUGCUCAGAGAAAAGCAUUUCCUUGCCUUGUGCCUUAAAAAAAAUAAGUAGAAAAUAAUGGAGAAAGAGUGAGACCUUUGCAGGCAGAGAAGCUGGAUUCAUAUCCCUUCAUUGCCUCUAAAAAAGAUAGAAACAAAAUCACACAUAUUUAUAUCCCACCAUAUGUCUGUUGAGGGUUAGUAGGAACACUGAAUUAAGUCAGAUCACGGAUGUCCAGCACAGAGACUGAUUUCUAAGGCACAAUAAACUUUGGUAGUUAUCUUCUCACAAUGAAGGAAGGAGGCAAAUCAUUAAACAGACGUGACCCAGCCAGGACCCUGAUGGAUUGGAUGGAGGCCGAAACCCCUUCCAGGAAGAAUGCAGGUGAGGAAGUUCAAGGUUGAGGAAGCUACAUGACAUUUAGCGUGUGUGUGUGUGUGUGUGUGUGUGUGUGUGUGUGUGUGUGUGUGUGUCUGUGAGAGAGAGAGAGAGAGAGAUAGGGGGGAGAGAGAGAGAGAGAGAGAGAGAGAGAGAGAGAGAGAGGAGAGGGAGGGGGAGAGAGAAAGAGAGAGAGAGAGAGGAGAGAGAGAGAGAGAGAGAGAGAGAGAGAGCGCUGUCCUCAGAGGCCAGAAGAAAGCAUCAAUAUUCUAGAGCUAGAAUUAUAGGUUAUUAUGAACUGCUUGACGUGAGUACUGAAAACCGAACUUGAAUGUGUUCUUACUUGCUUAGCUAUCUCUUUAGCCUCUACCUGAGUUUUCUAAAAUUAUACUCCAGUCACUGACAAAGUUAGAUCACAGCCAUCACUGGCCAGACUUCAGCCUUUUCUGGCUGCCCGUUGCUUAUGGAAGACACCUCUGUUCUUUGGAGAACACAAGAUCAACCUCAUGGGGAGUGUGCUGGGUAGUUUUAUGUCAACUCAUCUCAGGCUAGAGUCAUUUUGUAAGAGGGAACCCCCGACUGAGAAAAAUCCCCCCUGCUAGAUUGGCCUAUGGGCAAGCCUGUGCUGUGUUUUCUUGGUUGAUGAUGAUGUAGGAAGAACCAGCUUAGUGUGGGCAGAGCCAAUCCCUAGGCUCGUGGUCCUGGGUGCUUUAAAAAAGUAGACUGAACGAGUCACGGGGAGCCAGACCGUAAGUAGCAUUCGUCCACAGCUUCUUUAGUCUCUGGCUCCCGGUUCCUGCUUUGAAUUAUUGUCCUUACUCCCCUCAGUGAUGGCCUGUGCUGUGGGCUUGUAAGAUGAAGUAAACCCUUUCCUCCUCAAGCUGUUCAUCAUGUUUUAUCACAGCAAUAGAAACUAAGGCAGGAAGGAGACCCUAACUCGGCUUCCAAGACAGAAUGCACAAUGGUCACCAAAGUGUUAUUGAGGGAGCUGGAGUCCCUAAGCGUCCCUAGAGGAUGGUCUAGAGGCAAGACCCAAGUGAACCAGCUCAGCUUUCGAGAUCUUAGUUCCUGAUUAUUGUGGCCUCAUCUGUACCUGAUCCUCAGCAGUGUAGCUCCAAGUCUAAGUGUGACUGAAGAGGAACAAGGCUGUAGGUUGGAAGAUUCUCACUUUCCUCUGUGGCAGUGUGUGGGACAUCUCCAAGGAGAUCCGGAAGCAGGAGUCAGGUUCAGUUGAUGCCAGUGGUGAGCCAUCCCUGCAUACCCUGAGCUGCUAGGGAACCAUGGGGUGGCUUUCCUUGGGGACAGUGGGUUGAGCAGCAGGGCUGAGUCAGGGCUUCUGUGCCCUUUCAGCCUCAGAAACUCAGCCAGGGGCAGACCUUCAUGUGUGGCUAUUUAUAGUCCUCUGUGGCCAGGGGAGGGAGCUCCGCUGACACCAUGUGACAUUGCCUCUCUGAAACCUGGGUGGUGAGUGGGGGGUUGUAGCUGACUCAGAAUGGCUGUUCUACACAUUUCUUCCCUGGCUUUUUUCUCUCUCUCUCUGAUCCCCCACAAUUUCUACUGUCAACAUACCCUAUCCAAAACACAGUCCCCUCUGUGCCAGGCAAUGCUUAAUCAGACAGUGACACUCUCUUAACUCCUCAGCCUGCACAUCCAGGCUUGCAGUGUUCCAUGGGAUAAGUGAUAACUUAGGGCAAGCCUCCAAUGCACUGUUUCCCCAAAGGUGGAGGCCCUCCCUCCUCCACCCACAACUCGCUGUCACCACAUGGCCUUUUCUGUCCCUCCAUCUUCACUGGGCAGAAGUCCACUUAGCCUCCCAUGCCCAGGCCAUGUCAUUAUCUCUGCAAUAGCUUCCCUGGUCUCUUCAUACAAUGCUCACCCCUGGACACCUGUUUUCCUUCCCUUGAAUGUCUUGACAUUUUAUUUCUGAGGAUACCGGUCAGAGUGGCCCUAGAGCAUGUUCCUUGGCAGUGCUUUCUCCCAGCACCGAUUUCUUCACUCCAGUGGAGUCAGAUCUUCUGACAACAGGGUUGGAAUAUUCUGCAUUUUAAAGGCUCUGCUGAAAGUUCUGAUGUGCAGCUUGUUUGAGUUAGACCUGGACUGUGCUUUCUGCAGGCCUGACAUCAUAUGCUCUCCCCAGCUCUUCUGUGGAAAACAGGGAGAAGCCAGUUGUACCUUGAGGGCUUGGAGAGGAAAGGCGUCAAGAAAUGCUGUGCCCUCAGAGAGUUCUGGAGGUCACAGUGAGAACUGGCACGUCUUCUAUCCCUACACAGUGUGAGAUAAACAAGGAAGCCCCCCCCCCCCUGUUUUACAGAGGAGGAAACUGAGUCCCUGAGAAGGUAAGGGACUUGUUGAGAUCAUGCAGUGACAUAAAUAGGCCAUUCAUCUCCUCCCUUCCCAUCACAUUGAGCAGGGGUAGUUUACAGGGGGAAGCAGGUGGCAUGCAAGAGAUGGCCCUAGGCAGUACAGUGGUCCAGAGAGGCUGUGCAUGUCCUGGCUUCACCUUCUGAUGCUGGCCCCUUGAGCGCCCUCUGCUGGAAGUCCCUAGGAAAUCAGCAAGUGGCACUUGCCACUGGGAUGUGAGUAUGGUCAUGCCAGCAUCACAGUCUGGACAUACCAGCAUCCCAGGGACACUUCCACCAGAGUAAGGGAGUCUGCCUCUUUGACCUAGUCAUCUCUGUCAUCAUCAGGAGUGCCAACUACUCUCAAAAGUGAACCUCUAAUUUCAGUUUCUCUCUCUUUUUCUAACUCUCCACUUUCUUCUUUUUAGAAAUCUUAAAACAUCCACUAAGAUUACAUGGGGCAGGUGAUAUGGUUCGGUGGCUAAAAAGGCUGGCUCAGCAAGCAUGAAGACCAGAGUUUAAGUGCCCAGCACUUAUGUAUCAAGAUGGUCAUAGCUGGUUAUGUCUGUAAUCCCAGUGUUAGGGUGGAAACAGGUAGAUACUGAGCGCUCACAGGCCUGCUGAAAUAGUAGGCUCCUGGUUCAGUGAGAGCCUGUCUCUAGGUGAUAUGACAGAGUUCUACAGAGAAAGGUAAAUAAUGCCUUGCUUCAGCCUCUGCAGAAGCACGCACUCAUGCUUACAUGGUACACUUGUGUGCAUGCAACAUGCACAUCCAGCACACACAUACCGGAAAUUGUAUAGUAUGUGUCUCAGUGGGUAGACCACUUGCUGCACAACUUUGAGGACCUGAGUUCAAGUUCAUAGAAACCCAUAAAGCCAGGUGCUGGAGUGUAAGUCUGUAAUCCAAGACUCUUACAGUGAGAUAAGAGGUGGAGACAGGAGACUCCGUGGAAGCUUGGGAGUCAAAGUUUGAAACAGCAAUGAAACCCUGUCUCAAAAAGGGGAAAGGGGAGAAGAAUGUCAAAGCUUUAUCUCAAACACACACACACACACACACACACACACACACACACGCACACACACAUGAUUAUACAGUGCACAGGGUCAUGUGCCAGGCACUGGACAAGCAAUGUUGUCAUCAUUAUAUAAGUACCUGCUGUUGGUUUGUUCUCUGCAUCCUGUGAGCUCACUCAUUCAACUUUCAUGACAGAUUGUCAGGAUAGAACUAUGACAAUUUUUUAUUUUCAACAGAUGAAGAUAUACACGCUAUAUACAUGCUUCAGAAAGAUUAGGUGACUUCCUCAUGGUCACAUAGCUGGCGUGGUACAGAGCUGGGAUCCAGUCCUAGGAGACAUGUAUUUUCUGUGCACAAAGCCUGGGACACCCAGUAUGAGAAGGCUCAGUGGGUGCCAUACUACACUGUCUGUCUGUGUCACCUUCCCCCUAUUUUCCUUAACAUAGCCACAUGCUCCUUUCCCUGAACGACACAGGUUCUGUUAAUUUCAGCUCUGUUUCUCUAUGGACUGACUUGUGACUGCCUCAGAAAGUGGAUUGCACAUGCAUUUCAGUGGCAGCACAGCCAAGGAUGGGGACCUGGCUGGUUCACACUGAGAAAUAUAGUAUGUGUGUCUAGGUUCAGAGAGAUCCCUGCACGCCAAGCCUUCACUCUUGAUUCUGACUACAUAUGUUAAAGCAAAAUCAAGUGCUACAUGACUAGUUUAAGAAUGAGGAGGGUUAUCAAUCUAGGGAAGGAAGAAGAGGUACCAAUAGACCAAGCUGGAAUUGGUGAGAGAGAGAGAGAGAGAGAGAGAGAGAGAGAGAGAGAGAGAGAGAGAGAGAGAGAGAGGUAGGUGGCGGUGGUGGCAGUGCUGUAUCUUAGAGUUUUAUUGCUGUGAAGAAACACCAUGACCAAGGCAAUUUUUAUAAAGGACAACAUUUAAUUGGGGCUAACUUACAGUUUCGUAGGUUCAGUCCAUUAUCCUCAAGGUGGGAGCACGGCAGCAUCUAGGCAGACGUGGGGCUGGAGGGGCUGAGAGUUCCACCUUUUGUUCCAAAGGCAGCUAGGAGAAGACUGACUUCUAGGCAGCUAAGACAAGGGUCUUAAAGCCAAUGCCUAAAGUGACACACCUAGUCCAACAAGGCCACACCUCCUAAUAGUGCCAUUCCCUGGGCCAAGCAUAUACAAACCAUCACAGGGCUUUAAAGAUCACUUCAGCUUCUACUUUCUAGAGUGCAGAAUGAAGUCGGAAGGGUCAUCAGGUGAGAGAGAGAGGGAGAGGCAGAAGGAUGACAAGAGGACACACAGGCAGGGGGCCCAGCCCUAUGAUUAUUAGUGUUUCUCUUUAGUUUGAUGGGUUUUAACUUUCCUCCCUCAUUUGUUGUCUUUUUGGCCUUGGAUAACAAAUGGUUAAAUUGUGAUAAAAAAUACAUGUGCCUUCUUUGGUGAACCUUGGGAGGUUGUCUGUGCACUACAGCUGUGAGUUCUCACUAACACUGCGGCUUCUGUGCAGUCACACAUAAGGUGUUCCCCAUCCUGGCCCUGCCUCUCUGACCUGAAUUUUAAGGGAACAUUUAUGCUCCAGUCAGGGCAUGGCGUGAUGGGGGAAGGCCUGCGUCCCCUGGCAUGGUUGCCUGCUUUCCAGAAAGCUGGCUUACUUUCAACACAUGCUUUGAGUGGCAGCAUCAUCUUUACCUCAGAGUCUCUACCUCCACUGAGGCUUGAUGAGAUCAGAGGAUGGAGUUUCUGCUCAUGGGUACGCAGACACAUGAGAAGGGGGGUCCUCCCACACUCAGCAUGCCUCUCCCCAGUUUCUUUCUGCAGUAAACUGAUUCCUUUCCUGCCAACCACCAUUACCUCUCUGGUCAGAUAAUGGUGAGGGGUCAGUAGAGAUUUCUAGGCCCUAGCCAAACCUUCAGCCACACUCUGCCCUUUAAGAUGCCCAGGCCACUUGUAUGCUCAUUGAGGUUUGAGAUGACAGGUAUUUUGAUGUGUUCAUUCAGAGAAACCAACCUGAGAUCUUAAGAAAGCACUCACGAUACUCCUAAACACUCAUAUGGUCAUGGUGGUUGACAGAAAAGAAAAUCAGUCUACAGUAGAGAGAAACUGGGAGGAGACACACCGAGGGUUUGAGGAUCUUUCCUUAUGCAUUUUAUACCCCUGAGAAGAAGCUCAGUCCUCUGGAUGCAUCAUACUUCAGUGGAGGUAGAGUACCCUUGAACCAGCACACCCAGGAAGAGGCUUUAUAGGCAGAAGCUUUAUGGCUUCUUUCUGAGCCAAGAUUUUAUGCACCAGAGCUCUGAUGAAGCUCCAGGUUCCAGCAGACCUGACCAACCCAUGGCUCACACCUACGUGGCUACAUGCUUUGGAAUCUUCCCAACACAGGGGCACGACUAUACAGUCUGGUACUUGGGGGAUUGUGUGCCAAUCUCAGCCAUGGUCUGCCUGGUCUCUGACAUAGGUGGCGUUGUGUCUAUAGAUCAUGUCAUUCACUGAUGCAGCCUGGAGUAGGGGCUGACAUUUCCUGUCCUUAAGAUGUCUAGCAGCGACCAGGAACCAACCUGUUGUUUGAGUCAUUUGAGGCAACUCUCUUCUGAUACUUGUCUUUGAGUCUCCUGGAGGUCUUGGGAGGUACCUUCCAUCCCUUAAUACAUCACCUUCCUGAUUAAACUAGCCAGAGAUGAUUCUGUGGAAUUGGCACUGUCCCCAGCACUGCAUUAAGACCUUCCGUUGGUCAAGGAGAAGAUUAUGAUCUUUCAUCAUCCCCAUCUACUGUGACUCAAAAAAAAAGAAAGAAAGAAAGAAAAGAAAAGAAAAGGAAAGAAAAAAAGACAAGAUAACCUUUUCAUACUGUGUGCAUUCCGUGCCAGCACCUUGGGAUGUACUAAUAGUAAAGCCUUGUCAUCCAAUGGAUCCUGCCAAAAUGACAAACAGUGGGAGAGAGAAUGCCAGGCUAUACAGGGGAAAUAAUGUGCAGCCCAUGCAAGCCUUGUCAGGGACACUGAGGAAGAAAACUGUGGGUCUACCCUAGGGUGCAGGGAUGGCUUCCUGGAGAAGGUGAUUCUUACAGAGGAAGGACAUUGUAAUUGUAUGCAAAUGAGAUAAUGUACAGAAGAGCCCCAUGCCUGUGUGAAAAGGACACAUAUAGAGAUAUGACAUGGGGAAUUUCGGGAAUUACCAAUGACUGCAAGUUGGUCUUCUCAAGCAUGUGUUGAAGCUGGAGCCCCUGAUGCAAGAGCACCAUGCAAGGAAUUGAUCUGUUUGGAGUGGGUGGUGCCUGGGAGGUUAGUUCUGGGAUUGUCUCAGGGGUUUCCAGAGAUGGUUAGAUCUGAGGGCUCUGAUAAAUCUGGUAAAUCUUUGAUGGGUUCAUCAUGUGGUGGCAUCAUCAGGAGGUAAACCCUAGGUGUAGGGCAUGUCCACGGGGCUACAACUUUCCCUCACUCCCUUCUGUAUUUGCUCCUUUUCAUUUCCUGGCUGUCUCCAUCUGAACUGCCUCUGUUCCUCUACACCCUGCCUGCUGUCAUGGGUUGAAACUUCUGAAACCAUGAGGACAGCAAAUCUUUCUGCCUGUAAGAUGUUCUCUCGGGUAUUAGGAAGUAAAGUCUCUCAGAAGAGGUUCCAAGGAGAAUAGCAUCUUCCAGGAACUAGCAAGAUUAGAACUCCCCCCCUCUCCACCACUUGAGGGCACAGCAAGAGAGCAGUCAUCUGUGAACUAACAAAACAGCCCUCACCGGAAACCAGGCCAUGCUGGUUCUCUGAUCUUGGAUGUCAGGCUCCAAAACUAUAAAAAUUGAACGUCUGUCUCUUGAAUCAACUCAGCCUGGUAUUCUGUUACAGCGAGCUGGUCUGACUGUGUGUGGAGCUGAGGUAGCUGAGGCAAAGGUUCAGAUUGGAGGAAGGGAGCUUUGGCUAAUGAACAGUAGGAGGUUAGGCCUUCAUCAAGAAGGGAGGGAAGAAUCACGUGAGGAAUUUAAAUAGUGAGGUAAUAGUAAUAUCACACACCUCUUAGCAGGUCUUUGGCAGGUCUAAGGAAACUGCACUGGAGGGAGUGAGGUGGGACUGGUUUUGCAAUCCCAUGAGUUCUGAAAUGCUCCUGUGCAGAUCAGUGAGCCUCAGGCUCAUGGGACAGCUUUUCAGCUGUCUUGUAGACUAUUAAAUAUUACAGAAACCAUAGACCAAUACCAGCUGAGCAUCCUCAAAGUGCCAGGCACCAUUCUAGGUGCUGUCUGAAUGUCCAUUCUUUUACUGACCUCUGGGAUCUAUUUCUCUUAGCCGCUUAGUAGUGGCAUGACUAACACCCAUGCCACUUGCUGUGAAGAUGAAAUGACAGUGUUUUCAAGAACAUUUUCCAUGGGGGUCACUUGUGAUGGCAGCCAGUGUCUCAGGUAAGAUAGAACUGUUCCACCCCAUAGGUAUCGAAGACAAGGCUUUCAGGAGCCCACAGACUAUUAGGAAUGUCUGCUAUAUUUGGACCUAUAUUCUCUGGCUGUCAGCCAACAGUGUGUAGCCAUUGCUACUGUCAUAGUGACUCAGAAAUUAGAACAAGAGGUAUAUGUGUGACCAAGGUAACUCUGAGAGCACAGACGCCACCCCAUUCACUACUGAGCAAGGAUGACUGCAGGUCCAGAGAGCUGGAUGCCAUGCUCUGGAAGUCUAGGAAGAGAUAUCGUCCUCCUGCCUGUGCUGAGAAGAGACCCACCAUGACUCUGAGUGGUGGUGCCCAUCUCUUUAAUCCUCAUGGCCUCUUACUUUGAUGCAAGGCCACUAUGUCUAUCUGGAACCUGACAAGCAUAGAACCUCUUGCAGCUUCAGUGCUAACAAGGAGCAGCAUUUCAACGAGCUGCUGUGAUGACAGAGUAUGCUAUCACCAGUGGGGGGGGGCUAUGCACUGGGGUGGGUGGGGGGAGUCUAGAUGUUUCUCAUUAGCUAAACAUUUUCUAACUGUGUAGAGAAUUUGGGAGUCUGGAAACCAGUGGAACUAUUGGCUGGGAGUGGCGAAGCCUGGCUCCAUGAAUUUUUGAUGGACUCCCCUAUUGAAGAUAACAGUGUGCCCUUGAAGGUGGAUAAUUGAAAUUCAGAUUUGGCUAUUCUAUCGCUUUGCGAUAUUCUUUAUGAGGCUGCUUUGCGUUUCCUGGUGACUUAGUUGCAGCUUUAGUGACUCCAUUAUGGAGAAAGAUAUUGAUUUGUCAGGGUGGUGUCAGAAGCACUGCUCUGAUGGAAAUUGAUUUAUCUCUCUCUGAGCAGCUUGUGUUUUUAAUUCGUCUUUGCCUUCAACAAGGUGUGGGGUUAGGGUGAGUGUGAAGGGCGCCUCCCUUACCAGGACUCCAUUCACCACCACACACUGAAUAAGGCUUGGGGUACAGUUUCAGCCACAGCUUUCUGUUCUGUACUUGGGAGAUAAAAUAAUUCCUAGUUUGCCUCUGUUGGUGUUCAUAACAUUUGUGUUCAGCCCUUUCUGCCUUCAACACAGAUGUAUAUAGCUGAGUGUGAUGGAUGAGGACCAUAACUCCAAGGUCCAGGGGAGAAUGGCCCUCUCCUCUGCCCUCUUCUCUUCUCCCUUCUCCCUUCCCCUCAUGUUCUUUCUACUCUCCAAGAAACAAGUCAGCAUUGAAGCAACAAGUAAACCAGGGAGUUCACCAUUCACAUUCAGAUGAUUUGCCCAAUGAUCCUUUUAAUUGGAAGACCUCAUUGGCUUUUGAUUUGGCCCCUCAUCUACUGUGGCAGUAUUGUAUUUGCCUGCCUGGGCUGGACCUUCUUCUCUGCCACUUCCCACUUGUGUGUGCUGGGGACUUAUACAAUCUCGUAAGACUCAGCCUCUUUAUAAAUAUCAGGAAAAUAACGGUGACAGGGCAGAUCAUGAAAUAACGCAUGGAAGAUUUAGCAUAUCAUCUGUCCUCAUAAUAAUAAGAAUAUGUUAAAUCGAACAAGAAAAAUAAGAAAAGACAAUACUGAUUAUUUGUUGUGUGUCUGUUCUGUGACUAUGUCGACUAUUGUCAUACAAGAAACAGACUCUUGACUCUUAGUGUCAUGGUGGAAAUAUGCUGGGACUUAGGUGACUUUUCUAACUGUACAGAGAAGGGUAUUGUGGGAAGAACAAGAGUCAGAGAAAAUUUCCUAGUGCUAAUAUUGGUAACAGAGUGAAGGUUGGUUACACAAAGAAGAUGGACAAACCAGGGUCUGUGACAUCCCUUAAAUAUGGUGACAUCACUGGAUGCUGAAAUAUUCCAACAGACUGGGAAUAAAAGUGUAUGAGAGUGUGGGGCAAGCUGUCAUUCCAGUGUCAGAGUUCAAGCCUUCAUCUUGAAGUGAAGGAACAAAGACUCCCUUGUGGGUGGGUAUCCUGGAGACCCCAGAGCCAUCACAGGAUUUCUGUGAAGGGAGGGUCUUGGCUUGAUUGGGUGAGUGGGUAGAGAGUCUGAGAAGACCCUUCAGGUGUGAGUAGUAAAUUGAGGCGCUCGAAUGUAUAGCAGGGUCACUGGGAAACCUUUCCAGUGGUCCAGAUGAUAAGAAAGACUAAACCUGGGUGGCAGUGAGCUGAGGUCAGAGAAGGCAGUAAGGAGACGAGAUGGAGGAGUGGUGCUGGGAGGGGAUGGCUAUGGGGGUGGAAAGGUGAUGGGUCAAGCCCUCCUCUACCGGAUGGCUGGUGGUGGCUGUAGCUUCUUAGGGUUCCCAUCUCUAAUGCUACAAACUAGAUCAUUUAAAAUGAUAGCAAUUUGUCUUCAUACAAAGGAGGCUUUAAUUAAAAGUAAGUGAUAGGUGAGUCCCAUACUCUUUUUAACAUUUAGAGAAUGCCUUUCUGGCUUAUUCUGGCUUCUGAUGAUGUCAGCAGUCCUUGGGCAUUCCUUAUGUUAUAGACACAUCAUUUCAAUAUGCACCCUCAUUAUUACAUGACUGAUUUUUCCAUCUAUGCUCCCAUGACUGGAUGGUAUUACCAGUCACGCUGAGUUAAGGGCCCACCCAGCUCUAAUUCCACCUCAUCAUGACAUCUGCAGUGACUCUGUUGGCAACUAAAGCUGAAUUCUGAGGACACUGGGCUUUAGAACUUCAAUCCAUCAUCUGGUGCUGGGACACAAAGCCAAUCGCGCUCCAUCCUCUGCUGUUUUUAAUUCAUAUCUUUUCUAACAUUGAAAAUGAAUUCACUUCACCCCACAGCCUCUUACUAUUCUGGUACCAACAUAUCAUGCACAUUAAUCACAUAUACAGAGACAGACAGACAGACAGACAGACAGACAGAAAGACAGACACAGCCAUACACCAGAGAACCAAAGAGUGUGGAGAGAGCUAGAGCAGAGAGAGAGAGGGAGAGAGAGAGAGAGAAUGAGAGAGGGAGGGGGAGAGAGGGAGAGGGGAGAGGGAGAGGGAGAGGGAGAGGGAGAGAGAAUUGUAUUAGAUUCUCACUGGGUUUGGAGAGAAGCUGUAAGCACAGGUGGCAGGAAUAGAUAGAGGAGGAAAGAUGGAGGAGCCUAUAUUUUAGUACUUCAGGUAUGUUGAAUUUAUAUCUUUGUUGUGAUGACAAUGUAACCUUCUAGAAGGAUCCUGCAUAUCCCUGUAACACUUUUAUAUAUUUCCCCAUGAUUAUCCAAAAAGAGAUCAAGAAGCUUUGUGACAAAAACUGACAUUGCUAGCCCAAUGUAAUGGUGCACACCUUUAAUCCCAGCGCUCGGGGGGCAGUGGCAGAUGGAUCUCCAUGAGUUUGAGGACAGCCUGGUCUACAGAGCAAGUUUCAAGAUAGACAAAGCUACACAGAGAAACCCUGUCUCAAACAAAACAAAACAACCCCUUCAAAACCCUCAAAACUCACAAUCACCAUCACCAUCACCACCAUCCUCCCCCACCACCACCAACAAAAACAACUGCCUUACUUUGGGGACAGGGAAUCACUGUGAGGGCAGGAGACAACCUUGUCUGCCAUUCUGUAGGUUGAGUCUUACCUGGAGAGGGAAUCCAGGUGAGAUGAUGUAGGUUUAUUAGUUCUUAGUGUUCUUAGUUCUUAGUUCUCUGCCAAGCACCCUGAGAGACUUGAUGAUGAGCUAGCCAUAUAUCCUGACUUGAGGAAGCUCAUAAUUGUGACAGGGUUUGUGGCUGGACAGGAGUGUAUGGCUCACAGGCAUAAUAAGACAAAGUAAAAAAGGGGACCAGAUGGAGGAACAAACUGGUAAGCUACUAUAAGAAUUCUUAGAGGGGAGUGUUGUGCAUGCUUGUCUGUGUGUCUCUGUGUCAGGGGAAGGAUCUCAGAAGGGAACAUAUCUCAAACUGAGCUUAAAAUCAUGGUGUUCAAGGAGGCUGGCUUUCUAGGAACCCAGAUUACCUAAGUGUUCUUCUAGUGCCCAGUUCCAUUUAAGCAGGAGGUGAAAACAUCAAACGACUUACUCUCUGGCUUAGGGAGGCCAUGCUAGCAAGGUGACAUUCUUGCUUGCUGGCCUAAGAUGACACUCAUAGUGCCAUGCAAAGAGGGCUUGUUCCCAGUCUCAGACAAGGACCCAAGGCUGGGGGUAACUUAGGGUAGGGUCAGCUUAUGGUAAGUGACUAUCAUGGUGGAGAGGUCAUGUCACAUCAUAACAACUAGGAAGCGGGGAGAGAGAGAGAGAGAGAGAGAGAGAGAGAGAGAGAGAGAGAGAGAGAGAGAGAGAGAAGAAGGAGGGAGGGAGAGAGAAGAUAUAGUCCUGUACCGGUAGGCUUUUCAAUUAGUCCCAGAGAGUUUGGGGUGGUGGCAUCCACACUCAGGGGAGUCUGUCCCCCUUAGUUAAUUAUUUCUAAAACACCCUCACAAACACUCAGAGGCAUGUUUUACCAAUAUCCCAGGUGUGUUGACACCCAACAAAACUGACAAUCAAUACUACACAUUACACAUAUGAAAUCUAAUAUUCCAGUGUGUUCAAUUCUUUAUGUCAUCUUCGACAAGAAAAACUGUUCAGAAGAGGAAAACCAUGAUGAGGACAAGGUCCAGAAACAGCUACCAGGGGAGGAUAUUAAGGAAUUUAAAUAAAAAAAUGGAAAUUGCCAUCCAGGAAGAAUCAGUGAUAUUUGAGCUUCUUUAAGACAUAAGAAAAGGACAAAGGAGGGAAAGUUGCUAAGGGAUGGAUCAAAAAAGGCAUGGGUAGCAACAUGAGUUGCCAGAUAAUGUUUGUCAUGUACCCAUCAUUCACAGAGAAACUAUGCUGAGCAUGAGGGUCUAAAUAGAAUGGUUGGUUUGAGUGGCAGCAGCCUCCAGUCACAAGAAAGGCUCACCCAGGCACUGAAUAGCUGCUUACCAUAAGCCGUAUUUGUAGUCUUCCUGACCAUCAUGACUGAUUGGAAAAGAUGACUUCCUGUGUACUGAAACUGAAAUGUUCAAGCUCCCUAAAGACAGGCAUGGUCACACAGUGUAGUUACUUCAAGAGACUGAUGAGUAUAAUACAGAACAUUGCUCACCAUUGGCAGCAAAGUAGGGUGUGGGUUGGAGUUCUCAGGAGAACUGAAUGAGAAGAGGGUUGAAACUGAAACAAAAUGAAUGGGGCACAGACUAAUCUACUGAUUCCUAAGGGGGGUGACUAGUUACUGAAAUACACCCAGUGGAAGGAAGUCUAACUGUUGCAUGGGGUUCUUUGAGAUUGCUCAGGUGACCAAUUUUCCAAGACAAUGAUCAAAGCAUGCAUAUUGUUCUCAUUAGAGAUUGUCCUUGAGGGUAAAGUCAGAGUUGAACAGAAUUACCAAAUUAUCCCAGGAACCAUUAAAUGUAUUUGUCUUAACUGACUUGUCUGCUCUCUAUUUCUUCGGUCUUUCUCCUUUCUAUAGUGCUCAACCAUUUUCAGUCAUUCUCCUGUGAGCACUAGGGAAUGGCCUUGGCUCUAUCCACGACCCUACCUUUUGGAUCAUGAGUUGAACUUGUCUCCUGCUUUCAGAGAGUCCACUAAAUGCUCGCUGUCUUCAACAAAGAUACCUUGUUGUGGAGGAAAGAGCGAUGCUAAUUAGCAGGUACUAGACUAGUUGUAGUGUGUGCUUGAUCUACUUUGGGCUCUUCCCACAUCUUCUGCACAGGUGGCAACCUCAGCAGUUGGGAAGGAUGCCAGAAAACAUAGCAAGCAUGUGGCGGGAUAGUUUAUUUCUCUCUUCACAUCUUAGGUAGCUCCUAAGCUUUGAAGAGAAGGACCACCUGUGUGAAAGCCUCUUCUACAUCCCUUGCAGCCCUCCUCCAGAGUUCCUCUGCUCAGUUUAGAGCAGGAAAGAACACAUUCUCUUCUGAGUUGGUGAAUGCCAGGCAAGAAGGAGAAGACGACUUGGAAGACUGCAUUGCCAAUUUCAUCUUGCUCUGAGCACAUCCCGCCAUGGGAAUGGCAUGUGAUGAGCAGCUUCCAAAUCAAACUUUGCAGGGGAAUGACAAAGCCUAUCAUCCGAUUACUUCUCGUGUCUGUUCAGAGGUUAAAGUUCCUAGAGAGCAGCAGGUGUUCCACAUAUAGGUGAAGGCUGCUUAAGUCCAAGACUAGAGGCUCAGGCUCUCAUUUCCAAACACAAUAGCUCAUUAUUACUUCCUGACAGGUGAUGAGGAGCAAGUCCUCAAGAUUACUUAACGCUUAUGUGAUUGAUACGUGGUGAAUCUUGGAAAUAUUAUUCUUUUUCUACCUUUCUUUCUCCACCUCCCUCUACCUCUGUCUUUGGACCAUGGCUGAAAGCUGAGAGGUCCUUUUGGAGAGCGCACGCUGUCACACCAGCCGACUGAUCACCAGUAACUAAGCACUCACUUCAGACCUGUUGCCAAGAGUGGAGAAGAUGCACCAGCCAAGGUGCCAUGGCUCAGGGUGCUGUUGAAGACUAGAAACCCCUCAGAGGCUACGUAGCCUCUGGAUAGCCUCAUGACUGUCUCUUUCCUCAGUUUACUUGAAACUAUAUUUGAUUUGGGGAAUAGAGAUCUUCCAGAAAGAAAAGUCCCACAUUUGAAGAGUCCAGCUGUACAGUCAUAAAACCAAAGAGAAACGUCAGUAGAUCCCCAUCCUGUCAAGAGAAGCUUCUACUUUUGUUAAUAUUUCAACCCAAGAAACCAUCUUUCAAUAUUUUCAUGCACACAAGGUUGCAAUGUCUUAUAAGGUGGGAGUGAGAGAUUAUUCUCUGUGGCUUCUGAAAUCACUGCCCAGGCAAUAAUAUUAUUGUCUUAUCUUUAGAAUACCUUGAAGACCAACAAAAGGUUAGUUUCAUAUGACAGCUUCCUGAAGAAUCCAGGAUUGGGUAGGACUGCAUUCAGUGUUUGUGAGGCACCUGUUCUGUGGCUGCUUUAAGCUCAGAAUGACUAAGACAAGGAGUUAAUUCUUUCUACUCAUCUUCCCCCUGUCUGCCUUGUGGACAUGUAAUAGGGCUUGAGACAUGGCAUGAGACAUGGCUUCUUCCCGCCACGGCCUUGCCUCUGAAAACCGAUUAAUUUUUAAUUUAAGAAGUUUGAGACGGACCAUUCUUCAUCUUGAUUAUUUGUUGAUUUGCUAACACACCUAUCUAAGUUUUUAUUAAUUAAUUAGUCACAGUAUCUGUGGUGUACUAAAUGUAUUGAGCUGGUAAUAUAAUUCUUAAAGGUCAAUGUCUCCCAUUUAAAUCAAUGUCUGUUAUGUGUAGGGGUGUUUCGUCUACAUGUAUGUCAGUGUGCCAUGUGAGUACCUGGUGUCCUCAAAGGCCAGGAGAGUGUGCCAGAUUCUCUGGGACUGAAAUUAUAGCCAGCUGUGGCUCACCAGAUAGGUGCUGGGAAUUGUCCCCUGGCCCCCUGGUCCCCUGGAAGGACAGUCAGGGUUUAAUAUCAUUACCAUUUUACACAGGAAAAAGACAAGAGGCUUGGUUAUGACAAAUCAAAUUACUUAGGUUCACAAACUGAGAAGGAAGAGCAAUUGUUAAAAUGCUGAUCUUUCUCCUCCUGAAUAUCUCAUUUUCCCCCCAAUCAGACGACUGCCUUGUCCUCAAAUACAAUUUCACAGCAAUUAUGACUGUUUGGGAAAAUCACCUUUAGUGACUAAUACAUACCUUUUCAAAAGGCUUUUGUUUGUCAAAUUUCUUUGAGUGUGUUAGCACAUGGAUGUGCAUUUGAUGGUUUUAAUUGUUGCAUAGAAAUCUGCUGCAUUCCCUGUCUUUUUCAUACAUGUAUACAUUGACUGUGUUGCCCUAUAUCCCUCCCACUCUCCAUUUUAUGCCAUCAGUAGCCCCCCCCAUUAUCUCCCUAGACUACAUUCUUUUUUCCUCAACUAAAUGUUAUAUAACAUAUUCUCUCCCAAUGUUGCUAAAUAAUCUUGAAAUUAAUUUAUUAUACGGCAAACUAAUCCAUUGAGGUAAUUUCCUAGAACAGUCUCCUCUUAUGAGUCACUCUGCCUGUGCACUCUUUUGCUGAUUAGUUCCGCACUGGAGAUUCACACACACUGACUUCUUCCUCAGGGUUUGUGUUUUAUAGGGGAAGAAACAGGAGUCCAAAACAGAUGGGCUGGGUUUGAACGCAAGCUCUCACUCAUAGCAAUGACCCUACAUUGACGUUUUCGUUUCCUCACCUAUGAAAUGGAAACAAUAAAGUGGGUCAGAGGUUGGAAAUGCAGCAUUUAGUAGGUAGAUGACAUUCUUUGCUCUUUGGACCAUGGGGUGAAGAGUCACUAUGAUUGAUAGACCAUAAACUUAACUCUGCUUUCCUGUCCGGGAAACUCCAUAAGUAUGACAUAAGAGUGCUAUGUUGCACUGAAUUUCUAAGAGAUAUAUAUAUAUAUAUAUAUAUGUAUAUGUAUAUGUAUAUGUAUAUAUAUAUAUAUAUUAACUAAAACCACCCUGUGAUCUUAGGUAGAUGCUCAGCUAUAGGGUCACAAUGAGUGACAACUAUUUUGAAGGGUAGAGACUGAUUAGUGGCCAGUCAAGCCUUACACAUAAUCCUUUUCUGACUAAUCAAAUCCCCUUGAACCAAGUGGUUGAUGGUAUGUGAAAGACCUGAGCUUGGCAGAAGACACUGUCUGACCUGAGCCUGGGUGCCGGGUAGACUUUGCAAACUUUCUUAACCGAUGAUCUUUUUCUUUUUAAGAAGGACUUGUCAUCUGAUAAGGAGGCUUAACAAGAUCCUCUCCCCAAAUUGGAUUUGACAUAUGCCUGGCACUCGGGCAGCUGAGCCUCGCUUCCCCAGUCAGUUCUCUGAAGCUACAGCCCUGGGCAUCAGGGCUUUGUUGGUCCUCUGCAGACACAGCUGCUAAUCCCAGGCUAAUGAGCAAUCCCCAGGCAGAGCAGCACGAGGCAAAGGUACUGGGAUUGGGAGAGACUUAGUGGGUAAGGGCAGCACAGCUAGGAGGAACUUUGUUUCCCUGGUAACAAAAUAAUGCAGGAUUCUUGUUGCUUGUUUGUUUGUUUUGCAGAGUUGCUCCUGAGUCUGGCUUAGACCAGAGCUCUGGGUCUUGUCUCUCUCAGACCAGCCCAGAAAGAGGAAGCCUUAGAGCAAGAGCAAAGUGGUUGCUGUGGGCUGGCUGGGUGCUCACGCUCACUAGUUUCCCUUGUAAACCUACAUCAUAAGUAGGGUGACAGAGUCAUCUCAUGUCUCUUCAAAGUUUCCUAGACUUAUCCUUUGUUUUUACUUUUUGAGAGAAAAUUGAAGUGUGUUGGAAAUGAAUGACUUCAAACAUGAUAGGUAUCUGGAGAUGAUCCUGGAAACCUCAAGCCAAAAUGUGAAUUCAAAAAUUUUUAUCACACACAUGCCUGCACAUGUGGGCAGAUGAUACACAGACAUGAACUGAAACACUUAGUCAUAAAGUAUGUAUGUGCUGGGUAAGAUGCAUCUGUGCACACUCAUGUGCACACAGAGUGAUGUACCCUGAGAAAUUCUUUUCCAUGGAUUUGUGCCUAAUCUUAUUAGAGCUCUGAAAUCUAGAAAAAAAAUCAUUUGAUAUAUACAGGAGUUUGUUUCUCAACUUAAAAAGUAAAAGUAAAUUAUAUGAAUGAUCAGAUCUUGGGGGAAAGGCUUAAAAGCCAAACCACACAUGAGAAGAUGUAGGUCUACACAGCAGUGACCUUCUACCUAAACCUGUCUGAUAGCAAGCACAGUGUGUAUCUGUGAGCAUGAAUAACAUUACUAAGUGUCAGGUUUUGAUCAGCAAGAACUCAAAGCUAUGGUUGAUGCACAUUAUUGGCCAAACUACUUUUAUUUCUGUCAUAUAAGUGAGUGGUUACAUAUUAAAGAUAAAUACAUUUUGCAUACUAAGUUCUAGAAUUUUCACACUGAAGCUGCCUGGAUCACACAUAUACAUGGGAGACAUGGACAGAAGAGCACCUUGUGCUUUUGCUGGUCUGCAUAAAAAAUACAAACAAAUUAAGUAGCAGUCAAUGGCAGAAUGCAAAGAUAGACGUUGGCGCAAGCCUACUGUGAAUAUGAAUGGACUAGAACUAUCAGCAUAAUCAACAUGGACAACCUCAAGAAGCAUGGUGUUGAACAGAGGAGAGGGAGCAGACUUCAGAGGCCAUCAGGAAAGCAAAAGAGACAAGACUGAGCCAUGCAUUCAUUAUCCAUAUGAAAUCCACAUUUGGAAGGUUGAAAUAUAGGUUGAAAGUAGGAAGAAUAGAUUGUAAGCAAAAAGUAUGAAAAUGAAAUUCCAUACAAUCUGGGGCUGGGGCAAUAGCUCGUUUCUAAGGCACCUGAUAUAUAAGCAGUGUGUAAGCUUGUGUGUGUGUGUGUGUGUGUGUGUGUGUGUGUGUGUGUGCAUGUGUAUAAGAGGUAGGCACCAUGGCACAAAAUCCAACCUCAGUGCUUAUAGAGGCAAGUCAGACAGAUCCCCGAAGCUCAUUACUCAGAGAGUCUAGCUCAAUCAAUGAACUCAAGGUUCAGAGAGACCUCAUCUCAAAAACACAUGUUUAUGCCACCACUGCUAACACUUGAGGGAAUAUUGGGAAGGAGAAGACAGGGGCUAUGUAAGAGCUGGAUACAGGAUGAAAGGCUGGGAAAUGCCAUGGUGUGGACUCAAUGUGACUGUUGCCAUCAUUAACUCACGGCAUCUGUGUUCACCUGCAUCGGCCCACACAAGAUUGCUCCUGUCAAUGAUCAGUCAUGAAAGAUGGAGAGAUUCACAAAACAGUGGAAUCAUCUUCAGCUCUGUACCUAGUGCAUCUAUCAGUUAGCUCCAACCCAUGGGCGUACACAUGGUCCUGGUUAAACUUACUGGCCCAUAUAACCAAACAAGUAUUCAGGAAUGUGAGGGACAGAUUUAAGGGGUGGGGUGGAAGGGCUUAAACAGUGGAAGCAGGGAGAUAGGAGAGGGUGGGAGGAUGCAUUCUGUGGAAAUGUCUAAGAAUAAAGUUAAUAAAAUAAGCUGGAAAAGAUGGAUGAAGACACACAUUGAUCUCUGAAUCCCACUUGGAAGCACAUACACAUGCAUGAGCACCCACAUGAACACACACACACACACACACACACACACACACACACACACACACACACUUAUUCAUUAAAAUAAUAGAGGUCUUCCAUAUAAUCUUAUGGGACUAGGACAAGGAGGCUAAAAAAUGCCAGAUGAAAUUUAUUUUAAGAAACAAAUCAUUAGCGACAAACAGAACAUGUUUUAAUGUGCAGGGGGUCAGUAAGCCAGGAAGACAUAAUAAAUCUAAGCAUAUAUGCACUUAACCAUAGGGUUUUAAAAUAUACUGAAAAACAUCAACAGUGACUGCCCUUAAAGGGAAAAUAGACAUGACCGAAGUUAUAGCGAGUUUAAAUAGCCUUCUAAGUCACUGAUGAGACAUCUGAUUCUCAGUGGUAAAGCGGAAGAUCCGAGGCCACAAUGAGCUAUCUUGCCCCAGUUGAUGUUUCUAGAAUGGACGACACACGCCAGAAAGCACAGGCUUUUCAAGUAUGCUCUUGCAACACAGAUCCCACAAACUAGUGCAAAGCAUCUUAAAAGUUUAAAGUUUUGUAGAGCCUUCGAAAAUGGCAUAAUCAAUUCAGACGACAACACGAGUACAUAUUCAGAAACUAAGUGGUAUAUUGCUAAUACCGGGGGAAACUAUAAAAUAUCCCAGAACCAAAGUCAAUCCAACAUUGCAACAUGCGCAGCGUGCUUCUGAGGGUCCUUGCGGCUGCAGGAGAAAGGACUUUUGUUGCAGCAUCAUUUGAAGGUACAAUUAUUUAGAAAUGCCAAAAAGCUCAAGCAGAGCAAUCUUUUUGGAAAAGGCUAAGCCCAUGUAUUCACCAGGGAAUUACAAAUUCGUCAAAAUGAAUACUAGAUAUUUUUCUGAAUGCAUGCAGACUGGCUUCAAAGGGGCACUUGAAACACGGAAGUGCCGAUGGCUUUGUGGCAUGAAAGUGGAUGGUGGUGUGGUCAAAAAUCAGGCACGCCAACUUAGGGUUACAGAGGAAAGAUAGGAGAGGCAGACCAAGAAUCCCUGAAACCAUACAGGCAAGGCAUACAAGGAGAGAGAAGGGAUAACACACGAAAACAGGGAAACAAUGACACUCUUCUAGUUAUACCCCAUUUCCAAUUAGAUUUCCUAUUUCUUAGUUAUGUUUCAAACGUUUGACUUUUGUAAACUCACUAAGAAUAAAAUGUCAUGGGGCAUGGUCAUGCCUUUAGUCCCAGCUCUAGGAAUGCAGAGGUAGGUGGGGUUUGAGGACAGCCUGGUCUACAAAGUGAGUUCCAGGACAGCCAGGGCUACACAGAGAAACCAUGUUUCCAAAAUGUUAAUACACUCAAAAAUUAAAGAAAAACAAUGCAAUGAGUGCUAAACCCUAAAAAAUGAAAGCAGACUGAUAAAUGGAUCAAUUUUAUUUCAAGUUGAUACUGUAACUAGCCUGAAGGGCACAAAGAAGGGACUGUCCCCGGCACUUUGAACACAGUGUGUGACCGACUUUAGCCUGGCAAUGUGGAGUUGUGUAGACGGACUGCUGAAAAUAACUCAUGAGCCCUUCCCAGCCAGUAUGCUCAACAUGCCACUGUGAGUGGAGUAACGUGAAACUAUUUUACAUCCAUUUAAAAGGAACAGAAGAAGCUGGUCCAUUCUAGCACUCUGGGGAUUGGAGUGUGAGGGUUGAACUGGCUUCAGCAAUGUAGCAAAACUCUGCCUCGGUCAAAACAAAACACAGAGUGUACAAAAGGAGUAAUAUAUUGAUGGCCUUGAGGAUCAGGCCUCUCACGGUGAAAGAAGACGUGCAAACAUACAGUACGGGUGGCCGAAGUCAGGGGAGAAUCUGCAGCAGGUGUGUCGAGAGUGAUGCCUUUGAGAUAGGAAUAGAUAUGUUCGCAUGCCCACUGCAUGCCUGAGUGAGCAUUCAACGGUGCUGAUGCACACACACCCAUAUGCACAUAUGAAUUGUGAAUAUGCACGUCUGCAUAGAUACAGAACAGGCCUGUCUUCCCUUGUACGACUUACUGAAAAAGCCAAGAAUGCAAAUAUACCAGGAAUAAUAAGUACGACUAACACUUGAUAUUUUUGUCCCUGCAGCUAUUUCUCACUUAAGCAAACAAGGACUUCUCAGGGAAGUGGCUCACUCCAGAGCUGGAACGGAGUACAAAAAGAUGAGCUAGGAUAACUUGUUAUGCAGGAAAAGGAAUAAUAACCAAAGAGACAUGCUAAAAAGUGGUGUGAAGGUGUUGCCAGGACACGGCAGACAAGUUCAAAAAGUGACAAAUGACUAACUUGAGAACGAUUUGAGUACUAAAAUAGGUGAGUAGUGAUGAUAAGCCAAGAGGGAAAGUCAGAAUUUAUGAAUCAGUGCUUACCCCAGACGGAUUUGCUCCAUCAGACAUUAGAAACCGCUAUAGACGAGAGAGAUAGUAGGCAGAUACAUAUUAAAUGAUAAAUAGAUGAUGUAGUUGAUUGCUAUAUGGUAGAUAACUAAUGAUAGAUGAUAGCUGAUACCUGACUGGUAAACAAUAGAUAGGUAGGUAGAGAGACAGACAGUUAGAUGGUAGUUAACAUAUGAUAGACAGGGGUUUUUUUUGUUUGUUUGUUUUGUUUUUUACUUCUGGUAUACAGUGAAAUGUUAUAUCUAGCUGCUCACUAUGGAGAAAGAGCUAGAAUUUAUAAACUGUGUUGGUGCUAUCGUGGUGAACAUGGAUUAGGCAAGCAUCAUCAGUGGAUACCAAAUCAAGGAAGUAUUUGGGUCCGAUGAAAUAAGCAUGAUUUAAAUACUUCCCACAUGGUGAUUAUUAGGUGAAGUAGAAAAAAUAUCGGUAACUCCGUACUAAGAAGAUCACAGCCAGCUGACAAAGAACCGUGUCAGCUUUGCCAGCAGAGUCUGUUUGGUGAACAUUGUGUAUCUGUCACUUGAUGCUUUAAAGCAGUGCACGGCUUGAAUCUCAUCCCAGGAUUCAGCAGGAGGCUGGAAACUGAUGACUUCUAUGAGGUGGGAUAGUGUUGUCCUUACAGGUGAUGAAAGCUCUAGAAGUGUUCUGGAUUAUCCAAAGCAGUCCAAUAGUGGUAAUGUUCAAGUUCGGCAGAAGGGAGAUGUCCCAGAGAACACAGAUGCACUGACAAAACUGGACCAUACUGAAAAACACGCUGACGUAAGUGCAUAAGACUGAAAUUUGCAUUUGUGAUCUCAGGAUGUGUCCUCAGAAUCCGCACCGAGGUAGUCAGAGGCCUGUGAUGUACGUAAGCGUGAGGGACUCUCAAAUGUUCAAAAUGCACAUGCACAAGCGCACAGGCACAUAUCAACACACACAGAACUCAGACAACUUCGAACUGUGGAGAGUCAUAUCAUGGGAGGUUGGGUGCAGAGAUUAUCUGAGCAUGUCUUUUGCUGACUUUUAUUUUCAUAAUUUUGUCAUUACUGGUUUCCUCCAUGUUGUGGCGGGGCCCAGGCAAUGUGAGCGUUGAUUGUUUACAAUGAGGAGAAAGGUAUAAAGUUAAUGAUCUAAGUUUCUAUCAUAAAGGCCAGCAAUAAAAGUGAACACAUUAUGCAUAACCCUAAAUGAUAAAAGAAAACGAGUCAAAUUGGAAAUUAAAACGGAAGAUGAGAAAAAGAAACCCAAUAGCAAACACGUUUUCUUUUAAAAGUUUAGAAAGCUUGGUAAACCCAUUACUAGCUGAAAAGCCAAAUGACCUAUAAAACUGUAAUUAAUAGUAACUGCAGAUCUCAAAAGAAACAAACUAACAAACAACAAAAAAGAUCAACAAAAAAGGUUAGCAAUGUCUAUGUAAUUAGCACAUAGAAGUAGUAGAGACAUUAUAAAUCACACUUUGAAAUAUACAUAUGUAUAAUUCAUUUCUCAUUAUUUGAGAAUUUUGUACGUGUAUACAAUAUAUUUGGUCAUAUUAAGCCCUGUUUCCUUACUAUUCCUCCAUGAACCCUAUCUGUUUUCCACUUCAUUUCCUCUUUCAGCAGACCACCAGGUCCAACGGGACUGCAUGUAUGUGCCUCGGUGUAAAGCCAUCUACUGGGGUGUGAGCAGCCUACAAGGAGCUGCUUCAUUGAAGGAAAUUGACCAACUCUAUGCUAGCAGCCUUCAAAGACUAAAGCUCCCAAGGAAAAGGGCAUUAGCACUAUUCAAUGCCCAUUUGCACAAUAUAAACUCAGCAAGCUGGGUGGAUACCUCCUGGCAAGUCAAAGACCUCAGUUUGAUUAAAUACCACAUACAGGGUGCCUUAUACUCAUGGUGAACAGAGGGCAGGGAACGUCUUUUCCCCUGAAGACCAGGGCAAUGCCAGAAUGUUCAGUCUUGUAGCCAGUGCAGUAUGAAGUCAAUAGCCUGAGUAAUAAGUCAAGAAAAAUAAAAGCAUACAGACUCAAAAGGAAGAAUUUGAUGAGUAUGUCUUUAUAGUAGUUAUAUACACAUAAAUGUUUAUACAAUUAAAUAAAAAUUAUUUCUAUAAAAGUAAUCAUGUAAACUUGUUUUACAAUUCAAACAUAUAGAUAAUACAGUACAAGAAAAUCCCAUGGAGUGAACAAAGAAAGCUCCAAACUAUUUCAUGAAUUCCUCAGUAUCUUGGGAUAUAAGAUGUAAAACAAAUUAAAUUGGAUUUCUACAUAUUGGUAGAAAAUAAUGAAAAACUGAAACAAAAACUAUUCAUAUAAACAUGUAACAUAUGUGAACAUAUAAAAAUAUGUUCACAGUACCAAAAGGAUAGAAAGUACUCAGUCAUAGACUUAACAAAGUACAUGCAAAUUUUUCACUUUAAACACCUUAAAAUAUUUCAAAGAAAAAAUCUUGAAAGUCUUAAAUAGAAAGAUAUACUAUAUUUUUGGAUUGGGAAAAUCAAUGUCAUAAAAGUGUUUAAGAUUCUACAGUAAUCCAUAGUUCAACAUAAUCCAAAUCAUACUUCCAAACAGCUUUCAAAAAUAGAAAUAGAUGAUUCUAAAAUUUACAUGAACACACAGAUCAUGUAAAAUAGAUGUAACAAUUUUGAUUUAAGAAGAACAAAGCUGAAGGCCAGCAAGGAAGCAUAGGAGGUACAAGCUGCUACCAAGCCAGACAACCUGAAUUUGCCUGAAUCUCACAUGGUUAAAGAAAAGAACCAACCACUGCAAGUUAUCUGUGACUUAACACACAUAGUAUGGCAUGUGCUUAUGUGUGGGGAGUUGCCCUUCACACAUGUACCAUGGCGGUGUGUGUGUGUGUGUGUGUGUGUGUGUGUGUGUGUGUGUGUGUACUCAUGCACUAACAUGUAUACAGAACAGAUAGAUUGGUUAGAUGAUAGACAGACAGACGGAAGAGAGGUAAAAACAAAUUUGGAAGUCUCAAACUGCUUAGCUUCAAGACACAACAAAAUAGUGAUUAAGAUAGCUUGCUAGCAGUCAGAUAUAUCAGUCACGUUAGCAGAUCAGAGAGUACAUAAAUAGUUAAAUAGUUACAUAUAUUUGUGGUAAUUUUUUACAAAAUAGAAAAUAAUUCAAAACAGAAAGUCUUUUUGAGGAAAUCGUGCUUUUCAUUGAGAUGAUAUCCUAGAGAAGAGCCUGUCAUGUGUGUGUGUGUGUAUGUGUGUGUGUGUGUGUGUGUGAAAUA